UACGAAGGGGGCUAGCGUUGCUCGGAAUUACUGGGCGUAAAGGGAGCGUAGGCGGAUAGUUAAGUCAGAGGUGAAAGCCCAGGGCUCAACCUUGGAAUUGCCUUUGAUACUGGCUAUCUUGAGUAUGGGAGAGGUGUGUGGAACUCCGAGUGUAGAGGUGAAAUUCGUAGAUAUUCGGAAGAACGCCAGUGGCGAAGGCGACACACUGGCCCAUUACUGACGCUGAGGCUCGAAAGCGUGGGGAGCAAACAGG
rnacentral:rRNA from 1 species